GCGAUCGGUGGAUGCCUUGGCACCAAGAGCCGAUGAAGGACGUUGUGACCUGCGAUAAGCCCUGGGGAGUUGGUGAGCGAGCUGUGAUCCGGGGGUGUCCGAAUGGGGAAACCUGGAAUGUCCGGAGUAGUGUCCGGUGGCCCUGCCCUGAAUGUAUAGGGGUGUGGGUGGUAACGCGGGGAAGUGAAACAUCUUAGUACCCGUAGGAAGAGAAAACAAGUGUGAUUCCGUGAGUAGUGGCGAGCGAAAGCGGAGGAGGCUAAACCGUGUGUGUGUUCAAGCCGGCAGGUGUUGCAUGUGCGGGGUUGUGGGGGCCUUGUGGUUCUGCUGCCGCAGGAUUGGCCAGUGAGAAAUGUUGCGUGAAGGUGAAGCGUCUGGGAAGGCGUACCGGAGUGGGUGAGAGUCCUGUAACUGUAAGCGUGGCACUGGUGUGGGGUUGCCCCGAGUAGCGUGGGACUCGUGGAAUUUCGCGUGAAUCUGGCGGGACCACCCGUCAAGCCUAAAUACUCCUUGGUGACCGAUAGUGGAUGAGUACCGUGAGGGAAGGGUGAAAAGUACCCCGGGAGGGGAGUGAAAGAGUUCCUGAAACCGGUCGCAUGCAAGCCGUCAGAGCCUGUGUGGUGAUGGCGUGCCUUUUGAAGAAUGAGCCUGCGAGUUAGUGAUGCGUGGCGAGGUUAACCCGUGGUGGGGGAGUCGUAGCGAAAGCGAGUCCGAUAAGGGCGUGAGUCGCGUGUUCUAGACCCGAAGCGGUGUGAUCUAUCCAUGGCCAGGAUGAAGCGUCGGUAAGACGUCGUGGAGGUCCGAACCCACUUCAGUUAAAAAUGGAGGGGAUGAGUUGUGGAUAGGGGUGAAAGGCCAAUCAAACACCGUGAUAGCUGGUUCUCCCCGAAAUGCAUUUAGGUGCAGCGUUGCGUGGUUCUUGUUGGAGGUAGAGCACUGGAUGGUCUAGGGGGCUUAUCGGCUUACCGAAAUCAGCCAAACUCCGAAUGCUGGCAAGCGUAGCGUGGCAGUGAGACGGCGGGGGAUAAGCUUCGUCGUCGAGAGGGAAACAGCCCAGAUCAUCAGCUAAGGCCCCUAAGUGGUGACUCAGUGGGAAAGGAUGUGGAGUUGCGUAGACAACCAGGAGGUUGGCUUGGAAGCAGCCAUCCUUGAAAGAGUGCGUAAUAGCUCACUGGUCGAGUGAUCCCGCGCCGACAAUGUAGUGGGGCUUAAGUACACCGCCGAAGCCGCGGCAAUGACAUGUAUGUGUUGUUGGGUAGGGGAGCGUCGUGCACGCGUUGAAGCAGCCUGGUGACGGUGUUGUGGAGUGUGUGCGAGUGAGAAUGCAGGCAUGAGUAGCGUGUGACGGGUGGGAAUCCCGUCCGCCGAUUAUCCAAGGGUUCCAGGGUCAAGUUUGUCUGCCCUGGGUGAGUCGGGUCCUAAGGCGAGGCCGACAGGCGUAGUCGAUGGAUAACGGGUUGAUAUUCCCGUACCCGAGUGUGCG
rnacentral:rRNA from 1 species